rnacentral:rRNA from 1 species
AUUGAAGGUUACAAGAGCGAACGGAGGAUGCCUAGGCUUCUGCAGGCGAUGAAGGACGUGGUAAGCUGCGUAAAGCCCCGGGGAACCGCAAACAGGUUUUGAUCCGGGGAUGUCCGAAUGGGGCAACCCGCACGGAUGAAGUCCGUGCGCCAUCUGAUAGAUGGGGCCAACCCGGGGAACUGAAACAUCUUAGUACCCGGAGGAAGAGAAAGAAAAGAUCGAUUUCCCGUGUAGUGGCGAUCGAAAGGUAAAGAGCCCAAACCUCGGUUGUUUCGGCAGUCGCGGGGUUGUAGGAGCGUUCAAAGGAAACAAUUUUCCGAAUUGGAAC